UACAGAGGGUGCGAGCGUUAAUCGGAAUUACUGGGCGUAAAGCGUGCGUAGACGGUAGCGUAAGUCAGAUGUGAAAGCCCCGGGCUUAACCUGGGAACUGCAUUGGUGACUGGCAGGCUUUGAGUGUGGCAGAGGGAGGUAGAAUUCCACGUGUAGCAGUGAAAUGCGCAGAUAGUCAGGAGGAACACCGGUGGCGAAGGCGGGUCUCUGGGCCGGAACUGACGCUGAGGAGCGAAAGCGUGGGGAGCGAACAGG
rnacentral:rRNA from 1 species